AUAACACUCAUCAAUGGAUAUCUCGGCUCUCGCAUCAAUGAAGAGCAUAGCAAAAUUUGAUACAUAAUGGGAUUUAUAAAAUCAUGCAAACCAUCAAGUCUUUGAAUGCAAGUUGCAACUGAGGCCAACCGGCCAUGGUCAAUUGUGCCUGGGCGUUAAGCUUUUUAUCGCUCCCUGUCUAGCCUAUCAUUGAUGAAUGUGCUGGUGAAUGCUUGGAUGUGCAUGGUGGCUCAUCAUUCCCCUCAGUGUAGUGGGAUGAAAGGGGGGUAAUCAUCUUUUUGGAUACAAAUGAUAGCAAGUGGAUUAAAGAGAAGUUAAAUGCUAAUAUGUUGUGUAUGCCAAAGAAAUGAUCAUAAUUUUUUAGGUAAUCCCAAAUUGUGCGUCAAUCCACAGAAGGAAUUUUGAAUGCAACCCUAGGAUGGGUGAGGCCACCCACUGAGUUUAAGCAUAUUAAUAAGAAAAGGAGAAGAAACAUUUAAGGAUUCUCCUAAUAAUGGUUAGUGAACUAGGAUAGGCCCAACAUUGGAAUAGGGCUGUCAUUCAGCAGCUCGAUAUAUAGACUGAAUAAGCAUCCUUAGCGAUGGAUUGGGCCCAAGUCCCCUUGAAAAGGAUGUUGGGGAGGGUAAGAGCCUCAUUUAACCGAAACCCUAACAUAACAUGAGGCAUUAUCAAUGAGUUAGGUAAUUUGGAAAUGCAUUCCUAAUAUGGUGAUAAAUUUUUUCUAAGGCCAAAUAUAGGCGAGAGACUAAUAGCUUACAAGUACCAUAAGGGAAAGAUGAAAAAGAAUUUGAAAAGAGUGUAAAAGAGUGCUUGAAAUUAUUAUGAGGGAAGAAGAUGGGGGGUGCAUCUAGGACCAAAGUGAAAUGGAUGUGUCUUAUCUGAUGUUUGGCUUAACGCAUGAAAUAUUUUAGGCCUUCCCGAUAGUAAUAGCUCAGGUGAUCGAUGCUCGAGGAGGCACCAUUAGGGCUAUUCGCAAACACAGUACGUGUCAAUAAGGCAAGCCUUUCAGGGUUCUCUCACACCCAUUGCAAUGGUCCAUGGGCUCCCCAUUUGACCUAUCUUAAAACACUAACAAAAGAGUCUAACAUACUUACAAGUUGAUGGGUGUUGAUGACCAAAGGGUGCAAGAAAGCUGAUGUGCAUGAUCCUUUUUUACAAGUACACCACUGCCCAACCCAGUUCUUCUAUGAAGGGUUUUAUUGUAAGCAUGCAUGUUUGGAUAAAAAAUAUGGUGAACUAUACCUGAGCGACGUAAAGCCAGAGAAAACUGGUGGUGGUCCAUAACGAUACUAACAUAAAAAUUAUUUAUCUAACUCAGGUAUAUGGGUGAAAGACUAAUCAAAUCAUCUAGUAGUUGGUUCCCUCUAAGGUUUCCCUAAAAAUAGAUAGAGCACCAUAAGGAGUUUUAUCAGAUAAAGCUAAUGAUUAGAGGCAUCAGGGGCACAACACCCUUGACCUAUUCUCAAACUUUAAAUAUUUAGGAUGGUAAGGCUGCAUUGAUGAGCCAUGCCAUGGAAUUGAGGGCUCCAAGUAGGCCAUUUUUUGAAAGAAAAGGCUCCGCUAGAGGUAGGGUCUACCAGUUGGAAGAGUGCUGCAUGUUAGGUGGCAUCCAGUGCACCCCCUGUGGCACCUAAAAAUCUGGAGGGUCACUAGUCAUCCACUCCCUGUUAUGCUCAUAACUGCAUCAAGUCUACAAGGUGCACAACCUUUGGUCAAGGGAAUAAUAAAGAUAAGGGAAGUCGGUAAAAUGGUUCCAUAAAUUCUGGAAAAGGAUUUGCUCAGAGGGUUUGGUAUGGGUGUCCCAGUCCCAUAAUAACUAAUGUUUAAGAAACUAGAUGAGCUACACUUAUAGAGAGAGAGGGCCACUAUGUGUGGGCUCGUGGACAGAUUGGGAAUGGCUCUCCUGAGGGCCUUCCCUCGGUGUCAAAUAACAUACUCAAAACUGAUAUAGUCAAGGGGAAUCUGGCUAUUUAAUUAAAAUAAAGCAAUAUAAUGGUACACACGGAUACACAUGUAAUGUUAUUGAUACCCAAUACUCUAAAUGUUAAAGUGAAGAAAUUUAACCAAGAUCAGGUAAAUAAUGGGAGUAACUAUGACUCUCUUAUGGUAGCUAAAUGAUUCAUCAUCUAAUUAGUGAUGCUUAUAAAUCGAUUGAUAAUAUUCCCACUAUCCCAGUCUACUAUCUAGUAAAACCACAUCCCAAGAAAAUGGGUUUGGCAAAAUCAGUAGAGAAAGAAGACUAUAUUGAGCUUGACUCUAGUCUGACUAUUUAAAAUGACUUAGGAGGUGUAGAAUAAGUGGGAGCUGACUGACCAAUGAAAGUGAAAUACCACUACUUUUAAUGUUGUUUUUACUAAUUCCGUGAGGUGGGGACUAGCCCCUUUUUUUGGCUUUUAUGUCUCCCCUCGAUGUGUUUAUCUAGGUGUAAGAUAUUGUCAGGUGGGUAGUUUGGCUAGGGUGGUACAUCUAUUAAAAGAUAAUGUAAGUGUCCUAAGAUGAACUCAAUGAGAAUAGAAAUCUCAUAUAUAACAAAAGGGUAAAACCUUAUUUAAUUCUAGGGCAGCACAUCACACCAUAAAAGUAUGGCUUAUUGAUCAUUUAGUCAUUCAGAAUUUGAAGCUAGAGUUAAUAGAAAAGUUAUCUAGGGAUAACUGGCUUGUGGCAGCAAACCAUUCAUAGUGAUGUUGUAUUUUGAUCCAUCGAUGUCAGCUCUUCCAUUCAUUGUAAAGUAGAAUUUACCAAGUUUUGAAUUGUUCACCCACUAAUAGGGAACGUGAGUUAGGUUUAGACUAUCAUGAGACAUGUUAGUUUUACUCUACUCAUGAUCGUGCCACGAUAGUAAUUCAACCUAGUAUUAGUGGAAUCACUGAUUCAUAUAAUUUGAAAGUU
rnacentral:rRNA from 1 species